CAGCAGCCGCGGUAAUACGAAGGGGGCUAGCGUUGUUCGGAUUUACUGGGCGUAAGGGGCGCGUAGGCGGACUGAUAAGUCAGGUGUGAAAUCCCAAGGCUCAACCUUGGAACUGCCUUUGAUACUGUUUGUCUUGAGUUCGAGAGAGGUAAGUGGAACUGCGAGUGUAGAGGUGAAAUUCGUAGAUAUUCGCAAGAACACCAGUGGCGAAGGCGGCUUACUGGCUCGAUACUGACGCUGAGGCGCGAAAGCGUGGGGAGCAAACAGGAUUAGAUACCCGUGUAGUCCCUGUCUCUUAUAC
rnacentral:rRNA from 1 species